rnacentral:lncRNA from 1 species
GCCCAGUGGUGGCAAGCAACAGCCUGCAUAUUACAGAUCUCAAGGACGUUGAGAUUAGAAGUAGUGUGUAUUCUCAAUCUUAAAUUCAGGGGGUGCACGUGCAAGUUUGUUACAUGUGUAUAUUGUGUGAUGCUGAGGAUACGAUUGAUCCCAUCACCCAGGUCUGAACUUCUAUAGGCUGCAGUCUGCCUGAUCCUCAGCAGGAAAUUUCUGCUUCAGGCUGCAGUAAUGCAGCAGCCCUUCUUUUGCUGCCUAGCUGUGAGUUGGCUCUGCUCCACAUGACUCUCGUCCUCUUCCUCAUAUCAGCGGGCUAGCCAGCGCAUGUGAUAGUGUUUGAGUAUUUGUCCCUUCCAAAUCUCAUGUUGAAAUGUGAUUCCUAACGUUAGAACUGAGGCUGAAUAGGAGAUGUUUUGGUCAUGGGGUUGGAUUUCUCAUGAAUGGCUUGGCAUCCUCCACUUAGUAAUGAGUAAGUUCUCACUCUAAGUUCAUGUGUGAUCUAGUUGUUUAAAAAAAGACUCUGGAAGCUCCCUGCUUCACUCUUUUGUUCCCUCUCUCGUCAUGUGACAUGUGACCAUGAAGUUCCCGUUUCACCUUCCACCAUGAAUAAAAGCUUUCUGAGGGUUUCAUCAGAAGCUGAGCAAAUGUUGGUGCCAUGCUUGUAUAGCCUACAGAACCAUAAGUCAAAUAAAUCUCUUUUCUUAAUAGGUUACCCAAUCUCAGGUAUUUCUUUAUAACAACACAAAAUGAAGUAUCACAGCAUGUUUACCACAAGUAAUAACAGAACUACAAGAAGGCAUGACCUGCUGCACAAGUGCUUUUAAAGCCCCUACUUGCAUCAUGACUAUUUCUAUUCUUGUGGCUAAAACAAGACACAUGGCUAAGCCUACAGUCAAGGGGCAGAGAAGUACACUCUCCCCUUAGUAAAAGAAUGGGAAGUUAUGUAACAAAGGGCAUGAAUACAGGUAGGCAAGAAGACUU